rnacentral:rRNA from 1 species
GGCCAGACUCCUACGGGAGGCAGCAGUGGGGAAUAUUGCACAAUGGGGGAAACCCUGAUGCAGCGACGCCGCGUGAGGGAAGAAGGUUUUCGGAUUGUAAACCUCUGUCCUUGGUGACGAAAGAAGACGGUAGCCAAGGAGGAAGCCACGGCUAACUACGUGCCAGCAGCCGCGGUAAUACGUAGGGGGCAAGCGUUAUCCGGAUUUACUGGGUGUAAAGGGAGCGCAGACGGCAAUGCAAGCCUGGAGUGAAAGGCGGGGGCCCAACCCCCGGACUGCUCUGGGAACUGUAUAGCUAGAGUGCAGGAGAGGCAAGUGGAAUUCCUAGUGUAGCGGUGAAAUGCGUAGAUAUUAGGAGGAACACCAGUGGCGAAGGCGGCUUGCUGGACUGUAACUGACGUUGAGGCUCGAAAGCGUGGGGAGCAAACAGGAUUAGAUACCCCAGUA